rfam:Gossypium hirsutum cultivar TM-1 chromosome 9, whole genome shotgun sequence
AAACCAUGCAUCAGGCAUUUUCUAAUUAACUCCUUGAAUUACUCACAUGCUUCAUAUAAUGUUUCAUCCUCAUAUUGCAAAAAAGACGUAAUAUCGCUCCUUAGUUU